CUUGAUCGACCCCAGCCACAGCGGGUCCGCGGCCUCACCGCGGUCCUGCCCGUAGGUCGCCAGCAACGCUUGCGCCUC
rnacentral:antisense_RNA from 1 species